rnacentral:rRNA from 1 species
GAUGAACGCUAGCGGCAGGCUUAACACAUGCAAGUCGAGGGGCAGCGGAAGGAGUGCUUGCACUUCUGCCGGCGACCGGCGCACGGGUGAGUAACACGUAUGCAACCUGCCUCCGUCAGGGGGACAACCCGGCGAAAGCCGGGCUAAUCCCGCGUAUAUUCCGUGAGGGCAUCCUUACGGAAGGAAAGGUUUCGGCCGGACGGGGAUGGGCAUGCGGCGCAUUAGGUAGUCGGGGGUGUAACGGACCACCGAGCCGACGAUGCGUAGGGGUUCUGAGAGGAAGGUCCCCCACACUGGUACUGAGACACGGACCAGACUCCUACGGGAGGCAGCAGUGAGGAAUAUUGGUCAAUGGUCGGAAGACUGAACCAGCCAAGCCGCGUGAAGGAAGAAGGUGCUCGGCAUCGUAAACUUCUUUUGUCAGGGAACAAAGGGCGGUACGUGUACCGCUGUGAGUGUACCUGAAGAAAAAGCAUCGGCUAACUCCGUG